GCCUUGUUUUUGAGCAGGUGCUGAUUAUUUCUCCUCUUCAGAGGCAGAACUCCCGGUUCACAAGCUGAGCUGCCUUCUUUAUAGAGUUGGAGCAGGCUCUAGCUGUGAAGGUAGGAUUUCUCCCUGCAGGACUGCCUAACCACCACUGGACUAAGUGCAGCAGUCCCACGGCCCCAGCAUUCACAGCCAGGAGCCCAGGCUUCUCACCAGAGAUGGGGAUUUCACUUCCAGUUGAGAUGCCUUUUGCAAGUUUAAGGGGAAAAAAAAGCUCUGCUGAAGGUGAAGUGAAAAUUCCUUGACUUCAGUGGACCAAGGCAACCACAGCUGCAUGGAGGACUCUGAUCACAUUGCAACAAUCUGUAUUGCUGUUUUACCCAGGCUGUACAGCAGCAAGUGCCUCUCAGAAUACUUGGUUUUAUGUGUGGCGACUACAGCCUUUGUAAGAGCUAAGGGUGGGAUUUAACAACCUUCCCAGUCACAUUAACUAUAUGCCUUUAUGCUA